rnacentral:rRNA from 1 species
AUACGGAGGGUGCAAGCGUUAUCCGGAUUUAUUGGGUUUAAAGGGUGCGCAGGCGGACCUGUCAGUCAGUGGUGAAAUCCCGGGGCUCAACCCCGGAACUGCCAUUGAUACUACAGGUCUUGAAUACGGUUGAAGUAGGCGGAAUGUAGCAUGUAGCGGUGAAAUGCAUAGAUAUGCUACAGAACACCGAUCGCGAAGGCAGCUUACUAAGCCGAUAUUGACGCUCAGGCACGAAAGCGUGGGGAGCGAACAGGAUUAGAAACCCGAGUAGUCC